GUAUGUACCACAUCUUCUUUAUCCAAUCCCCUAUCGCAGGACACUUUGGUUGUCUCUAUUAUUCAUUUAAAACUGCUAAUCUGAUAUAAUUUUUCCUGACAUAAGUGGCAUUUUUUCAUCUAGCAACAAAGUAUCUCCAAACUUCUUGUAGUUUGUGGGGCUGAAGUAUCUCAAAUGUGAACAUCUUUGACACUAGUAAAACAUAACUGAGAUUUCUACAGACCUUAAAACCACAGACAGUGGUUCUAAUGGAAUUGUGACUUCUGUAACAGAUUUCAAUAAAGUUGGACCAA